rnacentral:rRNA from 1 species
CCUACGGGAGGCUGCAGUGGGGAAUAUUGGACAAUGGGGGCAACCCUGAUCCAGCCAUGCCGCGUGUGUGAAGAAGGCCCUCGGGUUGUAAAGCACUUUCAGUGAGGAAGAACGCCUGGUGGUUAAUACCCAUCAGGAAAGACAUCACUCACAGAAGAAGCACCGGCUAACUCCGUGCCAGCAGCCGCGGUAAUACGGAGGGUGCGAGCGUUAAUCGGAAUUACUGGGCGUAAAGCGCGCGUAGGUGGCUUGAUAAGCCGGUUGUGAAAGCCCCGGGCUCAACCUGGGAACGGCAUCCGGAACUGUCAAGCUAGAGUGCAGGAGAGGAAGGUAGAAUUCCCGGUGUAGCGGUGAAAUGCGUAGAGAUCGGGAGGAAUACCAGUGGCGAAGGCGGCCUUCUGGAUUGACACUGACACUGAGGUGCGAAAGCGUGGGUAGCAAACAGGAUUAGAUACCCCAGUAGUC